CCCUUAGACGUUCUGGGCCGCACGCGCGCUACACUGACCAGUGCAACAAGCAUCCGUCCUUGGCCGACAGGCUCGGGCAAUCUUUGAACGCUGGUCGUGAUGGGGAUAGACUAUUGUAAUUUUUGGUCUUCAACGAGGAAUUCCUAGUAAACGCAAGUCAUCAACUUGCAUUGAUUACGUCCCUGCCCUUUGUACACACCGCCCGUCGCACCUACCGAUUGAAUGGUCCGGUGAAGCCUCCGGAUUGGCGCGCACCUCGGUGCCGCCGAGAAGUUGGCUAAACCUUACCAUUUAGAGGAAGGUGAAGUCGUAACA
rnacentral:rRNA from 1 species